UACGUAGGGCGCAAGCGUUGUCCGGAAUUACUGGGCGUAAAGGGCUCGUAGGCGGCCAACUAAGUCAGACGUGAAAUCCCUCGGCUUAACCGGGGAACUGCGUCUGAUACUGGAUGGCUUGAGUUUGGGAGAGGGAUGCGGAAUUCCAGGUGUAGCGGUGAAAUGCGUAGAUAUCUGGAGGAACACCGGUGGCGAAGGCGGCAUCCUGGACCAACACUGACGCUGAGGAGCGAAAAGCCAGGGGGAGCAAACGGGG
rnacentral:rRNA from 1 species